UACGUAGGUGGCAAGCGUUGCUCGGAAUUACUGGGCGUAAAGGGCGCGUAGGCGGGAUGGCAAGUCGGUCGUGAAAUCCCUUGGCUCAACUGAGGGGAGUCGGCCGAUACUGCUGUUCUUGAGGGAUGCAGGAGGAGACUGGAAUUCCCGGUGUAGCGGUGAAAUGUGUAGAGAUCGGGAGGAACACCGGUGGCGAAGGCGGGGUCUCUGGGCAUCUCCUGGACGGCUGAGGCGCGAAAGCGUGGGGAGCAAA
rnacentral:rRNA from 1 species